AUCUUAUUCCUUACUUUUUCUUACAAACUUCUCUAUUUAAUAACCAUAUCAGUUGUGCUUAUGGUACUACCAACACUUCUUCCUGUCUUCCUCUCUAGAAACUGUGUUAUUGCAAGUUGAGAAAAAUGUAGGUAAUCCCAAAGGAACAGCUCUUGGGGAACAUGAAAAUUGGUGUACCAGAUGAAGAGAUCAGAAAUCUGAUAAGAAACCAAUUACAAAAAGGUCUCAAAUGGGGUUACGAAUCAACCCGCAUGAAGAACAUCUUUCUCAACUAGCUACUUGAAUUAGGGCACUUUUUCAAACGGCAACUGAGACGGAGAUUGAAUCAGGGUGGGUUUGAAACCCCAUUGGAGACGUUUUUCUAAUUGGAUUCUUAUUAGUUUUGUGAUCUCUUCAUUUGGUAUAUAUAUGAUCAGUCCAAUUUCCAUGUUUUCCAAGAAUUCUUCCUUUAGCAUUACCUACAUCUUUCUGAAGUUGAGGGAGAAGUUCAGGUGGUAUUGCAACUACUAAACGCCCGCUGACAUACAGAAAAUGAAGAAGACCGAUCACUGGCAAAGCACAUGAUCGAUGCUUUUGGCGGCUGUUGCUGUUGAUGAUGAUGAUGAGUAGUUUGUCAAAUCUUUGUUCCUCUAACCAACAACACUAAGUAAUGUAGAUUUAAGAGCAAGUAGAAGAGCAACAAUCGAUGUUGGUUGAAUAUAAAAAAGCUAGAAGAUCAGAGUACUCUAUGAUUCAACACAGCAGCAGUUGGAUUAUCAAUACUUUUUCUUUUUUUUAUAUGUAAGAUGUAUUACUUUUUUUUUGUAUUAGUAAGAUGUAUCAUGUAUGCGGCUAAUAAAAGUCUGCAUGUUAAAGAUAAUUGCCAGGCAGAAAGCCACGAUUACCUGAGGGAAAGCUGAUUUUGGGGUGGAUUUAAUAAAAUCCUUUCCCCUUAUUAAUAAUCAUUUUUUAGCAAAUCCAAUUUAAUACAGAUAAUUUGGUAA